AGAGCAACAGAAUACUGUGCUGAGGCCCCAAAACAGAAAGGAAAGCUCACCACCAGAAUGUGCCUUUUCCUUAUCAAAAAGAAUUGCUGCCCCUUACAGGACAGGAGGACUCCAAUUGUGACCAAGUUGGAGCAGCCUUGAGCCACAACUCAGACUUAUUUUCAUUCUCUGCUCAUUGGCCAUUAGGAACCCGAUCCUUAUGAUGUUGUUGCUAUGAUUUUUCUUUUUAAGACCUGCAGUGACCUGCUGCUACCAGAACUGACUCGCUUCAAAGUGACGGAUGAAACCCAUAUGGAGAUAUUCCUGGGGUGGGUAGGCCAGUUGGAAGACAGAGUGUUUACACCUGAGAGAGGACUUGAGCAUAUCUGAACCUUUUGCACCAUUCAGUAAAGAGAAAAGGGGAGCUCAGGAAAAGCAGUUGAAAUACCAUUAGUUAACAGAUUGCCCAAUGAAGUCGAUGACAACUGUGAUAACAAGUUACUCACUAUCACAGCGUCUCCAAGAGAUGAACAGUGGAUGAUGCUUCCAAAGCACAGAUGUCCCUCUCCUCCUCAACCUUCUCUCCCCAGAAAGAUGUCAACACUGUGGAGAUUGUGCUAUGAAGAUACCUGGUGUGGCAUUGCAAUAGAUGAAAUAUUAAGGGCAAUUCAACAAUUUUCUGAACAAAUACAUGGAUUUAACUUGAAGUUGAAUUUAAUUUGACUUCAAGAAAAAUUAUAUUUCUGGUCCUCCUAUGAUCAUGCACUAAGAAUUAUUUAACUGCAGAUACAAUUGUUACCUUUAGAGCUAGAAGGCCUCAUUUUAGAAUUAAAAUGAAUGGCAACCCAGACAGAUAAA
rnacentral:lncRNA from 1 species